rnacentral:rRNA from 1 species
UACAGAGGAUGCAAGCGUUAUCCGGAAUGAUUGGGCGUAAAGCGUCCGCAGGUGGUUUUAUAUGUCUGCUGUUAAAUCGUUAGGCUUAACCUAAUACAGGCGGUGGAAACUAUAAGACUAGAGUACGUUCGGGGUAGAGGGAAUUCCCAGUGUAGCGGUGAAAUGCGUAGAGAUUGGGAAGAACACCAGUGGCGAAGGCGCUCUGCUAGGACUGUACUGACACUGAGGGACGAAAGCUAGGGGAGCGAAUGGG